AGCCAUGCGAGUCAUUGUAGUAAUACAAGGCAGACGGCUCAGUAACGCGUAGUCAACCUACCCUAUGGACGGGAAUAACCUCGGGAAACUGAGUAUAAUGCCCGAUAGAACAUUAUGCCUGGAAUGGUUUAUGUUCCAAAUGAUUUAUCGCCGUAGGAUGGGACUGCGGCCUAUCAGUUUGUUGGUGAGGUAAUGGCCCACCAAGACUAUUACAGGUACGGGCUCUGAGAGGAGUAGCCCGGAGAUGGGUACUGAGACACGGACCCAGGCCCUAUGGGGCGCAGCAGGCGAGAAAACUUUGCAAUGUGCGAAAGCACGACAAGGUUAAUCCGAGUGGUUUCUGCUAAAGGAACCUUUUGACAGUCCUAAAAACACUGAUGAAUAAGGGGUGGGCAAGUUCUGGUGUCAGCCGCCGCGGUAAAACCAGCACCUCAAGUGGUCAGGAUGAUUAUUGGGCCUAAAGCAUCCGUAGCCGGCUCUGUUAGUUUUCGGUUAAAUCUGUACGCUUAACGUACAGGCUGCCGGGAAUACUGCAGAGCUAGGGAGUGGGAGAGGUAGACGGUACUCGGUAGGAAGGGGUAAAAUCCUUUGAUCUAUUGAUGACCACCUGUGGCGAAGGCGGUCUACCAGAACACGUCCGACGGUGAGGGAUGAAAGCUGGGGGAGCAAACCGGAUUAGAUACCCGGGUAGUCCCAGCUGUAAACCAUGCAAACUCAGUGAUGCAUUGGCUUGUGGGCCAAUGCAGUGCUGCAGGGAAGCCGUUAAGUUUGCCGCCUGGGAAGUACGUACGCAAGUAUGAAACUUAAAAGGAAUUGGCGGGG
rnacentral:rRNA from 1 species